AACUUCUGAAUGUUGACCUCGGAUCAGGUAGGAAUACCCGCUGAACUUAAGCAUAUCAAUAAGCGGAGGAAAAGAAACCAACAGGGAUUGCCCUAGUAACGGCGAGUGAAGCGGCAACAGCUCAAAUUUGAAAUCUGGCUUUCGGGCCCGAGUUGUAAUUUGUAGAGGAUGAUUUUGAUGCGGUGCCUUCCGAGUUCCCUGGAACGGGACGCCAUAGAGGGUGAGAGCCCCGUCUGGUUGGAUGCCAAAUCUCUGUAAAUCUCCUUCGACGAGUCGAGUAGUUUGGGAAUGCUGCUCUAAAUGGGAGGUAUAUGUCUUCUAAAGCUAAAUACCGGCCAGAGACCGAUAGCGCACAAGUAGAGUGAUCGAAAGAUGAAAAGCACUUUGAAAAGAGAGUUAAAAAGUACGUGAAAUUGUUGAAAGGGAAGCGUUUAUGACCAGACUUGGGCUUGGUUAAUCAUCUGGGGUUCUCUCCAGUGCACUUUUCCAGCCCAGGCCAGCAUCAGUUUUCGCCGGGGGAUAAAGGCUUCGGGAAUGUGGCUCCCCUCGGGGAGUGUUAUAGCCCGUUGUGUAAUACCCUGGUGGGGACUGAGGUUCGCGCUUCUGCAAGGAUGCUGGCGUAAUGGUCAUCAACGACCCGUCU
rnacentral:rRNA from 1 species